rnacentral:tRNA from 1 species
GGAGAGAUGGCUCAGCGGUUAAGAGCACUGACUAUUCUUCCAGAAGUCCUGGGUUCAAUUCCCAUCAUCCACA